rnacentral:rRNA from 1 species
UACGUAGGGACCAAGCGUUGUUCGGAUUUACUGGGCGUAAAGGGCGCGUAGGCGGCGUGACAAGUCACUUGUGAAAUCUCCGGGCUUAACUCGGAACGGCCAAGUGAUACUGUCGUGCUAGAGUGCAGAAGGGGCAAUCGGAAUUCUUGGUGUAGCGGUGAAAUGCGUAGAUAUUGGGAGGAACACCAGUGGCGAAGGCGGCUCACUGGACCGGUUCUGACGCUGAUGCGCGAAAGCGUGGGGAGCAAACGGG